rnacentral:rRNA from 1 species
UUUGACCUCAAAUCAGGUAGGACUACCCGCUGAACUUAAGCAUAUCAAUAAGCGGAGGAAAAGAAACUAACAAGGAUUCCCCUAGUAACUGCGAGUGAAGCGGGAAAAGCUCAAAUUUGAAAUCUGGCAGUCUAUUUUUUCUUCUUUGGCU